rnacentral:lncRNA from 1 species
CAAGACAGCACCGGGUUUCACACUGGCAAGGCAGGAGGCUGUGUGCUGCCAGAACGACCAGCAGGGGGCGCAAAGGCCACGCCAGGCACCUGCUGGCCUCAGAGAAAACAGAAAGGGAACCAGGAAGCCCACUCCUGCUGUCCUUUCUCUGCAAGGAAAUGUGCCAGGGCACUGCAGCCCAGACAGUCGGCAGUAGAGGACCCAUGAAGUAUCUUUGUGCAAAGAAAGCAGCAAAGAGAAUUAAGAGAAUUGCAUCAUAUAAAGAGUGAAUUAAACCAUCUAAAGGAGCAAAAAUUCAUCAUCACAUGGACAAGAAAUUAAGACGUAACAUCCAUCUCACUAUUUGCAAAGUGGCUUAUUCCUACAGACAAUGCAGAUAUGUAAAAAGCUGGAAACCUAGGAGCAGAAGCCCAGCAUAAAGAUCUCUGAAAGCCUGGAUGCGUGGAUUCCUCUCUUACUUCCCAAAACGGUGGGGUGGAAAU